CUGUAUCGCUAACGGUUACCGUAUAGCUAAUUGCUAUCAAUCAGUUCCAUAUAGUCCAUAUUUGGAAACUAUGAAUAAAUCAACUAUUUCUAAACUUACGCGGGUUAUAUCGGAAAUGGUUACAAUUUGGCAAAACAUUCAAAUAUGAUUGCAUACUGUUUAGUAUCAUGAAAAGUUGUCACACAUACAUUGAAGUCUUAUGGUUUGGUAGUAAACAUACCGUACGCGGAGUAGUUAUAUUGCACUUGUGUGCGUUUUGUGAAAUCGGAGAAAAUUUUUCACCAGUCAAACUGCCAUAUUUGUGUUCAUUUCUGCGAAUCGAGUGUCGAAACUUGUUUGAAGUGAAAUAAGGAAUGCAUACUUCUUAGGACUUCAGAGUGGUGCUGCAACAUAUCUACAGAGUUUCUGAAAGAUGUUUCAACAGCGCCGAAGGAUCGUGGAACCAGAAUAUCACCCCCAAUGCUGAAUCUAGGCGCUGAAUUCAACUUGAACCUGUUUCGCAACUUUCAGCGGAAAUAAAGUUUCUGGAGUAGCCCACAGACAAAAUACAAUCGAGCUAAAGGUGUUGGUCGGAAUCCUUACCGCUGAUUAG